UUGCCAGAGGACCCCAACCGUCUUUCUUUUUCUUUUUUUUUCCUUUCCCUUUUUUCUAGCUCGGUGGCAGAGGGUGUGAGGACUGGGAAGAGAGGGGGGUUUAGCUAGCAGCACCCCUCGUCAGCGUGCGCCACUCCGGCCGCGGUGAGGGUCUGGGGGAGGGGGGUGGAGUGCUGAGGUUUUGGGGGGUGAGGGGACGCUUAGGGGGCGGUCUUUAGGGCUCGGUACCGGCGGCGGCAGGCCUCUUUGCAGCGAAGGAGCGGGAGGCCUCGGCGGGCAGAAGCGGUUCGGAGCUACCACAUCCUCUCCACGACCUCUCCCCCGUCCAUUCACCCUCCCGCCUACCCCCGCUAACCUCCGCUGCUCAGACACGUCACCCUGUUCUACUUACCUCGACUCCACCACUUACCGCCACCUUCACCGCGUCCUUCGGACCUAUCCUAUGUUCACAAUCACUCCCACUCCGGCGACUCACUGUUCCUCUAACGGUCCCCACUCGGACGCCUCACCCUCACGUAGUUACUGUGGUGGUAGUACAAGGCCUCAUGGAAGGGCCUAGCUGGGUGCCGAGGUUGGCGUAUGUGUAAACUGUCCCAUAAAGUAAGGCUCACGUCAUGCUUUCUUCAGAUGGUCCUUCCCCAAUUCCUUCAACGAGAGAGACAUCAACCACCGUAAUUGAGUUCACAAAAACGCAUGCCCGUUUGUUCAUCACCCUUCUGUAAGUGAUACUGACCUCACUGUCUUACGUGUCAUCGUCUAUAUAUACUAAUAUAAUUGUUCGUACUCCUCUCUCGUAAACACAACUUUAAGAGUCGUUAACUUUAUAUAUUACUUCAACAAUCCCUAGAAGACUCACGUCUUUUAUGAGGAGAAUCUGAAACCCUACUACGUCUCUUUCCGUGGAUGCACCUCUUAGAAUGCCUCCAAUAUAAUUCCCUAACCUUGGUGGAGUUCCCUGAAUAAAGACAAACGCUUCGAGUUUCCUCUUGGCCCCUCUGGAAGAAUUUACUUUUUUCGAGGUCUAGGGUAGUUUAUGAAUUUAACUGACAACUUUCAAGACGAGCACUUAAGAAUCCUUUCCUGUUCAGUUGGUGGGAACACCGAUCACACUUGAAACAACUAGACCGUCCUUCACUCGCACGUAGAGUCCGAUACAGUCGACCGUGUUCCGACUUUCUUCCAACGGUGUAGUUAUUUUCAAACGAAAGGGAACCGUGGCAGUAAUCCUUCGAUUCGUACCCCUCAUUACACGUGCAUGGUAUAUCUCUAAGGUUCGAAUGUGCGUAUAAUGUUGGAAGAAACCCUCCGUUACGUUCUUGGCGCUAAUAAACGUGUGAGUCGGGACGUUGUUCAGUGUAACUCGUUAGUUCCUUAUGUGACAAAAAGCCCUCAACACGUUUCCUGCAUCAAUGUUUACGAGUCCAAUUACACCAGUACAGACUAUUUUGUGAUCAAUUCGUAAACGUUUUCCUUCAACGGUCUGACCUCUCACUCAACGCCGUCGGUCAAAGUUUGAGAUCAGACCUUCGUGUCCACUUCCUUUUCCUGUUGGUUUAGUCUUUCUACCUCUUUCUUUAUUUUCUUGACUUCAGCGUUGCACUAAACCGAGUCAGGUCCAACGUCCUAAACGACGUUCAACAACCACUAGCACUGGGUUUCGUGGUCCAGAGUCCUUUCGCAAGUUAGUCUUCAGGAGGCAGACAACCUUACGGGGGUUCGCGAUCGUCUCUACUGUCAAGAGUCUAGAGAGUACUACUAAGUCUAGUAAUGUUCCUUCACGCUACAUAACUCGGUUUACUUUGCUCUCCUUUACUUGCAAACAGAUACAGUCGACCACUUUCAUGGUCGGGUGCUCGAAGUUUAUCCUUAAGAUCGUACGCACCAUUACUAAGUUGUCGAAGUCACUUAAGUUCCUCCGAACCACUUUGAGGAUAAUGGAACCUCGUUGUAAACCUCUUGUAGUCUUCCGGAAAAUAGUGAUUUCUAGAUCCUAGAAGUUGUGCGUUGGGUAGUUCAACAUCUCAUUAACCAUCUUCGUCCUCGACAUCUAGUGAUUGUCCCAGAUGAAAUGAACUACUCUACCUCUACCUCCUAACGUGUGGUCAUUUGUCUUCAAACCAUUAGAAGGGUCCUGCUGGACUUCUCAUGGUCUCUUCUCCUAGACGUAACUUGAUGCUACGUCCCUCACUCUGAGAAAGUUCCCGUCCUAGACUUUAAUCGUGAAGUUUCCCUCGAUCGUUCUGUCCACUACGUCUUAAAUGGCCAUAUCCACUUAAACAACGACUUGAAUUCCUCUACCGAGUCCAAGUAAUAGUCUUUGUCAAUCCACUGGUCUCACCCUUACCUUUCUCGUAGCCUAAUCUGGGUUAGUACCUACGAAACGUUAGUGGAAGAGCUACCGGUAACCUUAAGCUCUUCUUUGUCGUCCUCUAGUAGCUCGAGACCGUGCGCACGUCGUAAAGCAACCAGGUGUCCUGAAUGAAGAAGAACGACAAGUUUCCUCUUAGUCGGCUGAGCUAAAUGUACCUUCACCUCGACGCUUCCGACAGCAAGGAGUCUCUGUGGAUGAGAUCCCCUUCGUGGGGGUCGUUACACUGGCAUCCGUCGGAGUCGAGAAGGGGGCAGCGCUCGCGGUUCUUCGAAGUCGCGCUCUCCCUCUACGACCGCUCCGUCUACGUCUUCGCCGACAGGCACCUCCUCUCCUUGGUGUACAUGUGGUUCACCUCGCACAGCGACCUGAGGUUCUCCUCCUUCGACGUCCACCGAGCGGCCGACACCUGCCUCUCGUCCCUGGACCUCGUGCACUCCCUCUCGCGCAGGGACCACCGGUUCGACUAGCCCGAGGUCCUCGGGCCCGUCCAGGACUCCCUCUACAAGCCCGAGUCGAAGCGCGGCGUCGUCGGCGGGUGGGCCGCCAGGAGGUUGCCGACCUCUAUGCCCUAGGGGAGCAAGCCGACUAACUAACUACUAACCCCCAGCCACUGCUGUGCUCCGCUCUACUACUUCAACUCGAACCGACGCGAGGAUUAGGCCCGGCGCGUAACGGUCCCUGACUUCUAGUCAAACCAAGCUAUAUGGACCGGAAGAACGGCCCGCACGCGGACUUUGCUAGUUCCUUAGUACGGACCACUCCGAUCGGACCCCACUGAAACAAAACAUACGCAAGACCGAACCGAACGAUAAUAUUCGGAUAUUUAAUAACAACUCGGUACGAAAGUAGUCUGUUGUACGUUCUUUAUCAGAAAAAUCCAGAGUCAGCUACGAUAUAAGCAAUCUAAAAUAUAAGUCUAGACACAUAA
rnacentral:rRNA from 1 species